rnacentral:lncRNA from 1 species
GUUCUGUUGCCCUUUUAUCUCAGGUCUGGGUGAUGUUAUGAAUGGUGAUACUUAGGUUCCUAGAACUCAGCCGGCCCAGCAUGCAUUGUGCACAGAUUUGACGUUAUCUAAGCAAGGGUUGGCUAUGGCCCAUCUUGGAGAAGGGAAGGCAUUAGGGUUGUUCUGAUGGAGCAGUUUGUUUACUCUUAGGACACAAAGGAAGAAGUACCCAGGGGGAGUGCAUGCCUGACACACUUCUGAGGAACUGAACCACCUCCAUCAGUAGCUAGCCCGAGAGAAGGCACCUUUGCAGUGUGAGAGAGGCCCACACGGGCAAUUCUUGGCUAGUGGCUUUUCCACAGGCGUCAGGAGGGCUACAUACUAAUGCUAACACAAGACAACCGACGUCUUCCUUCCCAGCAAGUACAUCUCCUGUCUUGUCCCUGUGUGUGUUCAUUGAGUCAGUGCAGAAGGCACCAGUGGGUGAGAUUUCCAUAGGAUUCAGUCCCAAGGGCCCUUAAACUGUGAGUAAUGGAAGAGGCAUUGACCAGGGUCCAGAGAAGCCCCAGGUGUUACUGCAAGUUCCUCCCUUUGGUAGGGGCAGUGAGGCACUUCAGAGUGAGGACUUUGUAUUCUUUAGAGAUGUUAAUUCAAGGGGCGAGAUCCAAGCUGUGAAGAUGCAUUAGCGACUGGAUAUGAACUUCAAAAGGGGUAGGGUUAACAGACCUGUUAGCCAAGGUGAGAGUGAGGUUGUCAUUCUUAGGGAUGAAAUGUAGUAUCUUUAAUCCUUAGGGAUCACUUUGUGGGUGGAAGUGACAGACCAGCACCGGGAUAGAUUUUGCUCAUGGGCUAUAAUCCCUAAGAAAUUUACUAUUGCAUUGAAUUCCUAUUCCCUGUGGACAGAAGAGAUGGAACAGAGGAGAUCAGAAAGAAUAGACAAUAAUGGCCACUCAUCCUGCUUCCAGUAUGAAGAUUCCCCUACAUCUAGCAUGGACAGAAGUGUUGACAGAGGGAGGAGUUUUGGCAGAACAACAGAAGUCAAGUACGGCAAUGGCAAAGAAAAAGCCAACUACUAAGCCUGUCUGUCUACCACAUUACUUUAUUGGCUUCCAAAUAAACCCAAUCCUAGGGGACAAAAGAUGUGAAUCCAUAUCAGAAGAGAGAGGCAGUUCUGGAUUCCUGAGGUGUGUAAAGCUUUGAUUCUGCCCCCUCUCUGUAAGGUCUGUUUUCACCAGUCCAUAGCCCUAGGCUUGGUCUUGGAGCUGGGUUCUUCAGGAUAGGCUUCCUGUACAUGAGCUCAUAUGGACUCAACCUGAGUUUCCUUUGGGGGCCAUUUGCAUUCUCAAAAGUGCUGUGGGGAGAAGGGAGAUCUAGGCUGAUGAAUGAACCACAGGAGAAUUCCUAAAUUUUUGCUGAGGGUUUGGUUUGUUCUACUUUUCCUGAGGAUUGUGGCCUCCAAGUAGCGUGUGAACCCCAUUUGAUUCAUAGAGCUCUAGAGUUUCUCUUAGUAAUUUGGGAAAAUAACAUGGGCCCGUUGUGACUCUGGAUGGAUAUAAGGAGCCUGAGCUGAAGAUUACUUCCUUGAGCAAGGCCUUAGACCUCCAAGCAGUCUCUGUUUGAGUGGGGAAUGCUCCAUUAGUUGGAGAAGGUGUCAAAACCAGCAUAGGAGUUCCCUGGUAGCCUCAUGGUUAAGGAUUAGGCAUUGUCACUGCUAUAGCUCAUUGUCACUGCUAUGGUUCGAGUUCAUUUCCCAGCCUGGGAAACUCUGUGUACCAUGAAUGUGGCCAAAAAACAAAACAAAACCAGGAUAUAUCUAAAAUUUAAUUGCCCCAGGGCAUUACUGUGAAAUCAGAUUGCCAGUCUUAACCUGCAUAUGUGCCUUUAUACUGGGUGGGGGUCACUCCCUUGGCCUUGGGUCGGGGGAGGUGUGUUGGGCUUAUUCCAGAGGCAGAUAGGGCAGCUUUUACCACCUGUUUAAGUAGACUGCAGAAAUUGGGAGUAGUCAUGGAUUGGAUAAGCUGUUGAUACAGGGCCUCCUGCCCAUAAAGUAUGCUCUAGUGAGUUUCCCAGAGAGCAAUGGCUGAUGGGAGAAUAGCUGCCCAUGACCAUUAACCAGCUACCUGGGUAUUAUGCCUUUUAAAACAACCCCACCUUUGAGUUUCCUGGUGGCCUAGUGGUUUAGGAUUUGGCAUUGUCACUGCUGUGGCUCAGAUUUGAUCCUUGGUCUAGGAAAUUCUGCAUGCUGUGGGCAUGGCCAAAACAAAAACAGCCCCAUCUCAAAGCCUUUUCCCUUAUUUCUGGGGUGUAUAUGGGAGUGUUGGAGUUAGGGAGUGGGGGAGAUGGUAGGAGUGGCAUUUGAAGUCUGUCUGCACCCUUUGCUGCUUGUGUAACUGCCAUAUCUGCUCUGUUAUUCCCUCUUAUAAUUCCUCCUUCUCCCUUUUGAUGGCCUCUGCAGUGAAUAACUGCUACUCCUUUGGCAGGAGUAUACCCUCCAGCAGCUGCAUAAUCCACCCCCCCCCCAUUAUUAAUCUUUUUAUUCUGAGGUCAGCAUUCCUUUCCCCAUCUAGCUGACCCCAUGGGUAUGUUGGAUUCAACAGGCAUAUUUAGAGUCAGUUUAAAUGGUGACAACUUUGCCUUUCCCAGGUUCUAGUGCUCUGACUAGGGUAGAUAACUCACCUUUAUAGGGAGAACAGACAGAAGGCAAAGCCUCAGCUGUUUGGUCCAAUUCUUAAAGAAAAAAAAAAAAAAAAGGCUAACCCGGAGUCAGAGGUCCCAUUUUUGUGUAAGCACUCCCAGGCAGUUAAAACUUCCCACUAGAAUCAAAUAUGUGUCCAUUCCCCAUGUAGUUCUCUUGGCCCUUGCCUUAGUGUUUUGAGGUUAUGUAAUUAGAUGCAUACAUGUUUAGAAAUUAAGACUUUCUGUUGAAUGUACCUUAUAUCUUUUUAAGUGUCUCCUUUAACUCUAGUAAUGUUUUUUGCCUUAAAGUCUAUUUUUCUGAUGUUAACAUAACUAUGCUUGCUUGAGAGGGGGCUGUAGUUGUGUCCAUAUAGAUGGAGGGGACUGGUCAGGUAAAUCUAACAUGGGAGCUUUCAUGAGAUGAUUUUUUAUUUCAAGGAAAGCCUGGACAAAGUCAGGGAUCCACUAGAAAGGGUCCUUCCCUUUUAAUUGUUCAUAAAGGGCUUAGCAAUUAAACCAAAGUUUGGGAUCCAUAUGCAGAAGAACCCUCCCAUCCCCAGAAAACCCUGGGGCUGCUUUCUUGUACUCUUGGGGGGCUGCCAUCUGGUAAAUCAA